UGGGGAAUAUUGCACAAUGGAGGGAACUCUGAUGCAGCGACGCCGCGUGAGUGAUGAAGGAAUUCGUUUCGUAAAACUCUGUUCUAUGGGAAGAAAAGGACUGUACCAUAGGAGAAAGCUCCGGCUAAAUACGUGCCAGCAGCCGCGGUAAUACGUAUGGAGCGAGCGUUGUCCGGAAUUAUUGGGCGUAAAGGGUGCGCAGGCGGCUUUACAAGUUGGAUGUGAAAUAUUGUGGCUCAACCACAAACGUGCAUCCAAAACUGCAAAGCUUGAGUUAAGGAGAGGUAAGUGGAAUUCCUGGUGUAGCGGUGGAAUGCGUAGAUAUCAGGAGGAAUACCGGUGGCGAAGGCGGCUUACUGGACUUAAACUGACGCUCAGGCACGAAAGCGUGGGGAGCAAACAGG
rnacentral:rRNA from 1 species